rnacentral:lncRNA from 1 species
AUCUCUCUCUCUCUCUCUCUCUCUCUCUCUCUGUCGCCUGCAUACGAAGAGUAUUAUUAGGCUCGGCAGUUUACUCUGUGGGCAAGAAUUAUCCCUGCAAGUGUAAUUACCAUAUGGGCAUGCCAAUUGAGGAAGAUAUGAAUCAAUCAUAAAAGAGAAGAAGAGAAUACAUCACUUGCAGUUCUUACGUCUCUUCUUCGUUUGAGACUUGGGAAUUGGGACUCGAAAACAAACGACAUGAUGCAAAGGCUCACUAUUGAUUGACCUUCCUUUGCUCUACUUAUACUUUCUCUGGUCUUUACUGCACAUUUGAGCCUCAGCAACCCGACCUCCUCCUCCUUUUCUUCCUCCUCUUACCUUUCUCUCUUCUACUAUACUCUUUCUACACAACAAAGCCUCUCUCUCUCUCUCUCUCUCUUUCUUUCACUGACAGAAGAAGAGAGUUCNNNNNNNNNNNNNNNNNNNNCUACUACUACUUCUUACUACACAACAACGACCUCUCUCUCUCUCUCUCUCUUUCUUUCACUGACAGAAGAAGAGAGUUCGUGCUGAUUAGUUCCACAACAAAAGUAAGAAGCAGAGACAAGGAAGGGAUGACCAACACCUCUGGUUUCUUUGAAGCUGCUGAGUAACACUACGUCGUUUUCUUCCU